rnacentral:rRNA from 1 species
UACGUAGGGCGCAAGCGUUGUCCGGAAUUAUUGGGCGUAAAGAGCUCGUAGGCGGUUUGUCGCGUCUGUCGUGAAACCUUGGGGCUCAACCCCAAGCCUGCACUGGAUACUGUCGAGCUUGAGUCCGGGAGGGGAGAGCGGAAUUCCUAGUGUAGCGGUGAAAUGCGCAGAUAUUAGGAAGAACACCGGUGGCGAAGGCGGCUCUCUGGAACGGUACUGACGCUGAGACGCGAAAGCGUGGGGAGCGAACAGG